UUUGAUUAUGUUAGGAAAAUU
rnacentral:piRNA from 1 species